ACUAAGCGUACACGGUGGAUGCCCUGGCAGUCAGAGGCGAUGAAGGACGUGCUAAUCUGCGAAAAGCGUCGGUAAGGUGAUAUGAACCGUUAUAACCGGCGAUGUCCGAAUGGGGAAACCCAGUGCAAUUCGUUGCACUAUCGUUAACUGAAUACAUAGGUUAACGAGGCGAACCGGGGGAACUGAAACAUCUAAGUACCCCGAGGAAAAGAAAUCAACCGAGAUUCCCCCAGUAGCGGCGAGCGAACGGGGAGCAGCCCAGAGUCUGAAUCAGCUUGUGUGUUAGUGGAACGGUCUGGAAAGUCCGACGGUACAGGGUGAUAGUCCCGUACACCAAAAUGCACAGGCUGUGAACUCGAAGAGUAGGGCGGGACACGUGGUAUCCUGUCUGAAUAUGGGGGGACCAUCCUCCAAGGCUAAAUACUCCUGACUGACCGAUAGUGAACCAGUACCGUGAGGGAAAGGCGAAAAGAACCCCAGCGAGGGGAGUGAAAAAGAACCUGAAACCGUGUACGUACAAGCAGUGGGAGCACCUUCGGGUGUGACUGCGUACCUUUUGUAUAAUGGGUCAGCGACUUAUAUUCUGUAGCAAGGUUAACCGUAUAGGGGAGCCGCAGGGAAACCGAGUCUUAACUGGGCGUUAAGUUGCAGGGUAUAGACCCGAAACCCGGUGAUCUAGCCAUGGGCAGGUUGAAGGUUGGGUAACACUAACUGGAGGACCGAACCGACUAAUGUUGAAAAAUUAGCGGAUGACUUGUGGCUGGGGGUGAAAGGCCAAUCAAACCGGGAGAUAGCUGGUUCUCCCCGAAAGCUAUUUAGGUAGCGCCUCGUGAAUUCAUCUUCGGGGGUAGAGCACUGUUUCGGCUAGGGGGUCAUCCCGACUUACCAACCCGAUGCAAACUACGAAUACCGAAGAAUGUUAUCACGGGAGACACACGGCGGGUGCUAACGUCCGUCGUGAAGAGGGAAACAACCCAGACCGCCAGCUAAGGUCCCAAAGUCAUGGUUAAGUGGGAAACGAUGUGGGAAGGCACAGACAGCCAGGAUGUUGGCUUAGAAGCAGCCAUCAUUUAAAGAAAGCGUAAUAGCUCACUGGUCGAGUCGGCCUGCGCGGAAGAUGUAACGGGGCUAAACCAUGCACCGAAGCUGCGGCAGCGACACUAUGUGUUGUUGGGUAGGGGAGCGUUCUGUAAGCCUGCGAAGGUGACCUGUGAGGGUUGCUGGAGGUAUCAGAAGUGCGAAUGCUGACAUAAGUAACGAUAAAGCGGGUGAAAAGCCCGCUCGCCGGAAGACCAAGGGUUCCUGUCCAACGUUAAUCGGGGCAGGGUGAGUCGACCCCUAAGGCGAGGCCGAAAGGCGUAGUCGAUGGGAAACAGGUUAAUAUUCCUGUACUUGGUGUUACUGCGAAGGGGGGACGGAGAAGGCUAUGUUAGCCGGGCGACGGUUGUCCCGGUUUAAGCAUGUAGGCUGGUUGUCCAGGCAAAUCCGGAUAAUCAAGGCUGAGGUGUGAUGACGAGGCACUACGGUGCUGAAGUAACAAAUGCCCUGCUUCCAGGAAAAGCCUCUAAGCAUCAGGUAACAUCAAAUCGUACCCCAAACCGACACAGGUGGUCAGGUAGAGAAUACCAAGGCGCUUGAGAGAACUCGGGUGAAGGAACUAGGCAAAAUGGUGCCGUAACUUCGGGAGAAGGCACGCUGGUGUGUAGGUGAAGUCCCUGCGGAUGGAGCUGAGACCAGUCGAAGAUACCAGCUGGCUGCAACUGUUUAUUAAAAACACAGCACUGUGCAAACACGAAAGUGGACGUAUACGGUGUGACGCCUGCCCGGUGCCGGAAGGUUAAUUGAUGGGGUUAUCCGUAAGGAGAAGCUCUUGAUCGAAGCCCCGGUAAACGGCGGCCGUAACUAUAACGGUCCUAAGGUAGCGAAAUUCCUUGUCGGGUAAGUUCCGACCUGCACGAAUGGCGUAAUGAUGGCCAGGCUGUCUCCACCCGAGACUCAGUGAAAUUGAACUCGCUGUGAAGAUGCAGUGUACCCGCGGCAAGACGGAAAGACCCCGUGAACCUUUACUAUAGCUUGACACUGAACAUUGAGCCUUGAUGUGUAGGAUAGGUGGGAGGCUUUGAAGCGUGGACGCCAGUCUGCGUGGAGCCAACCUUGAAAUACCACCCUUUAAUGUUUGAUGUUCUAACGUUGGCCCCUUACCGGGGUUGCGGACAGUGUCUGGUGGGUAGUUUGACUGGGGCGGUCUCCUCCCAAAGCGUAACGGAGGAGCACGAAGGUUAGCUAAUCCUGGUCGGACAUCAGGAGGUUAGUGCAAUGGCAUAAGCUAGCUUGACUGCGAGCGUGACGGCGCGAGCAGGUGCGAAAGCAGGUCAUAGUGAUCCGGUGGUUCUGAAUGGAAGGGCCAUCGCUCAACGGAUAAAAGGUACUCCGGGGAUAACAGGCUGAUACCGCCCAAGAGUUCAUAUCGACGGCGGUGUUUGGCACCUCGAUGUCGGCUCAUCACAUCCUGGGGCUGAAGUAGGUCCCAAGGGUAUGGCUGUUCGCCAUUUAAAGUGGUACGCGAGCUGGGUUUAGAACGUCGUGAGACAGUUCGGUCCCUAUCUGCCGUGGGCGCUGGAGAAUUGAGGGGGGCUGCUCCUAGUACGAGAGGACCGGAGUGGACGCAUCACUGGUGUUCGGGUUGUCAUGCCAAUGGCACUGCCCGGUAGCUAAAUGCGGAAGAGAUAAGUGCUGAAAGCAUCUAAGCACGAAACUUGCCCCGAGAUGAGUUCUCCCUGAGACUUUAAGUCUCCUGAAGGAACGUUAAAGACGAUGACGUUGAUAGGCCGGGUGUGUAAGCGCAGCGAUGCGUUGAGCUAACCGGUACUAAUGAACCGUGAGGCUUAACC
rnacentral:rRNA from 1 species